GACGAACGCUGGCGGCGUGCUUAACACAUGCAAGUCGAACGGAAAGGCCCUGCUUUUGUGGGGUGCUCGAGUGGCGAACGGGUGAGUAACACGUGAGUAACCUGCCCUUGACUUUGGGAUAACUUCAGGAAACUGGGGCUACUACCGGAUAGGAGCUCCUGCUGCAUGGUGGGGGUUGGAAAGUUUCGGCGGUUGGGGAUGGACUCGCGGCUUAUCAGCUUGUUGGUGGGGUAGUGGCUUACCAAGGCUUUGACGGGUAGCCGGCCUGAGAGGGUGACCGGCCACAUUGGUACUGCGAUACGGCCCAGACUCCUACGGGAGGCAGCAGUGGGGAAUAUUGCACAAUGGUCGGAAGCCUGAUGCAGCAACGCCGCGUGCGGGAUGACGGCCUUCGGGUUGUAAACCGCUUUCGCCUGUGACGAAGCGUGAGUGACGGUAAUGGGUAAAGAAGCACCGGCUAACUACGUG
rnacentral:rRNA from 1 species